rnacentral:rRNA from 1 species
AUUGAACGCUGGCGGCAUGCCUUACACAUGCAAGUCGAACGGCAGCACGGGUGCUUGCACCUGGUGGCGAGUGGCGAACGGGUGAGUAAUAUAUCGGAACGUACCUUAUUGUGGGGGAUAACGCAGCGAAAGCUGUGCUAAUACCGCAUAAUCCCUAAGGGGGAAAGCGGGGGACCGUAAGGCCUCGCGCAAUUAGAGCGGCCGAUACCUGAUUAGCUAGUUGGUGAGGGAAAGGCUCACCAAGGCAACGAUCAGUAGCUGGUCUGAGAGGACGAUCAGCCACACGGGGAGUGAGACACGGCCGGGACUCCUACGGGAGGCAGCAGUGGGGAAUUUUGGACAAUGGGGGCAACCCUGAUCCAGCAAUGCCGCGUGAGUGAAGAAGGCCUUCGGGUUGUAAUGCUCUUUUGUCAGGGAAGAAACACCGGCUCUAACACAGUCCGGGAAUGACGGUACCUGAAGAAUAAGCACCGGCUAACUACGUGCCAGCAGCCGCCGUAA